rnacentral:lncRNA from 1 species
CUAUCUAUCAAAAUAUAAAACAAUCAACAUCAAGAUACAAACAUCAUAAACAAUAAAAUCAUCAACACAAUGACAUCAUCAACAACAAAUACACAAACAUAAUCAAUAAUAACAUCAUCAACAAUAGCAUCAUCAACAAACAUCAUCAACAAUAACAUCUUCAACAAACAUCAUCAACAAUAGCAUCAUUAAUAAACACGGUCAACAAUAACAUCAUCAAUAAACAUCAUCAAC